rnacentral:rRNA from 1 species
UGGCGGACGGGUGAGUAACGCGUGGAAAACCUGCCGUAUACUGGGGGAUAACACUUAGAAAUAGGUGCUAAUACCGCAUAAGCGCACAGCUUCGCAUGAAGCGGUGUGGAAAACUCUGGUGGUAUACGAUGGUUCCGCGUCUGAUUAGCUAGUUGGUGGGGUAAUGGCCUACCAAGGCAACGAUCAGUAGCCGGCCUGAGGGGGUGAACGGCCACAUUGGGACUGAGACACGGCCCAAACUCCUACGGGAGGCAGCAG